rnacentral:rRNA from 1 species
AGCUAUAGCCAUGCCACCCUGAACAUGCCUGAUCUCGUCUGAUCUCAGAAGCUAAGAAGUGUUGGGCCUGGUUAGUACUUGAAUGGGAGACCACCUAGGAAGACCGGGUGCUGCAGGCA